rnacentral:rRNA from 1 species
UGGAGGGCAAGUCUGGUGCCAGCAGCCGCGGUAAUUCCAGCUCCAAUAGCGUAUAUUAAAGUUGUUGCAGUUAAAAAGCUCGUAGUUGAAUUUCGGGAUCAGUACGCUGGUCAUGCCUUUGGUAUGCACUGGUGUCACUGGUUUCUCCCUUCUGAAGAACCGUGAUGUCAUUAAUUUGGUGUCGCGGGGAAUCAGGACUGUUACUUUGAAAAAAUUAGAGUGUUUAAAGCAGGCUCACGCUUGAAUACAUUAGCAUGGAAUAAUGAAAUAGGACGUUUGACCCUAUUUUGUUGGUUUCUAGGAUCGACGUAAUGAUUAAUAGGGAUAGUUGGGGGCAUUAGUAUUCAAUUGUCAGAGGUGAAAUUCUUGGAUUUAUUGAAGACUAACUACUGCGAAAGCAUUUGCCAAGGAUGUUUUCAUUAAUCAAGAACGAAAGUUAGGGGAUCGAAGACGAUCAGAUACCGUCGUAGUCUUAACCAUAAACUAUGCCGACUAGGGAUCGGAUGAUGU